rnacentral:rRNA from 1 species
UACGUAGGCAGCGAGCGUUGUUCGGAGUUACUGGGCGUAAAGCGUGCGUAGGCGGUGGUCCAAGUCUGGUGUGAAAUCUCCCGGCUCAACUGGGAGGGUGCGCCGGAAACUGGGCCGCUGGAGUACGGGAGAGGCAAGCGGAAUUCCAGGUGUAGCGGUGAAAUGCGUAGAUAUCUGGAGGAACACCGGUGGCGAAGGCGGCAUCCUCGGACCGGUAUUGACGCUGAGGCGCGAAAGCCAGGGGAGCCAAAGCGGGG